rnacentral:rRNA from 1 species
GUAGGGGUGCAAGCGUUGUUCGGAAUUAUUGGGCGUAAAGCGUGCGUAGGCGGGAUUAGAAAGUCGGGGUGUGAAAGCCCACAGCUUAACUGUGGAAUUGCGCUCGAAACUCCUAAUCUUGAGGACGGUAGAGGCAGGUGGAAUUCCUGGUGUAGAGGUGAAGUUCGUAGAUAUCAGGAGGAACACUCGUGGCGAAGGCGGCCUGCUGGACCGUUCCUGACGCUGAGGUACGAAAGCGUGGGGAGCAAACAGGAUUAGAUACCCUGGUAGUCCACGCCGUAAACGAUGAGUACUAGGCGUUGGAGGUAUUGACCCCUUCAGUGCCGGCGCUAACGCAAUAAGUACUCCGCCUGGGAAGUACGGUCGCAAAGAUUAA